rnacentral:lncRNA from 1 species
GACGAAGAUUCCACAGGAGUGUACCUAAAGCCACACAGCUGCUGGUUGAGGCCAUAAAGACCAGAUGGGCUGUUGAUAGGGAGCCACCAAAGGGUAGUCAAAGUGUCAUAUGGCUACAGUGCGAAGCAUGGCAGAACUGUUGGGGAUAUUUCAACCCUUCCACGAAACACUGGAAAUGGAACUCUACCCAGUUCUUGCUAACAAUCAUGUUGGGGUCCAGGCACGGGAACACAUUCCGAUCUCAUUUCUGGUGUUGAAUCUCAGACUCUGGGAGAAAGAACCAACAAAACGUACUUGACUGGGCUCUAGGAAGAACUCAGGCUGGUGGUAGAAGCCAGAGCUCGGAGCUUCAGAUUCCAGGAUUGUUCAAUGGAAUGACAAUCUCUAAAGCCAAGCAUGGUGGCAUGUGCUGGUAAUUCCAGCGUUUUGGUAGGCUUUAAGGAAGGAGGGCUGUGUUCAAUGCUAGCCUGGGCUACAUGGCAAGACCCUGUCUCAAACAAACAAAAACAAAAAGUAUUUUCAUUACCAGAUGGAUGCAAACGUACAGAAAAGCCAUGACCCAUUAAAACAGAAUGUGGGGUGUGUGUGUGUGUGCGUGUGAGAGAGAGGUGGGGGGAAGAGAGAAUAUGUGUGAGUGAGAGAAAGAAGGAGAGAGAGAAUGUGUGUGUGAAAAAGAGAGAGGAGAAAGAGAAGGAGAGAGAGAGAGAGAGAAAAUGUGUGUUGUGUGUGUGUUGCUGCAGGAGUGGAAACUGUAUAGUGGAAGGUCUUAUAAAAUCAAAGGUCCUCUCACCUGUGCAAUUGGUACAACAGUGAUAUGUUAUCUCAGGGUUUUUGCAAGAAUUAAAUGAAAUUCUAUAUG